rnacentral:tRNA from 1 species
UCCCUGGUGGUCCAGUGGUUAGGAUUCUGUACUUCCACUGCAGGGGGCAUGUGUUCAAUCCCUGGUCGGGGAA